rnacentral:rRNA from 1 species
GCAGCAGGCGCGAAACCUUUACACUGCACGUCAGUGCGAUAAGGGGAUCCCAAGUGCGCAGGCAUAGAGCCUGCGCUUUUCUGAACCGUAGGGAGGUUCAGGAACAAGUGCUGGGCAAGACCGGUGCCAGCCGCCGCGGUAAUACCGGCAGCACGAGUGAUGGCCGAUAUUAUUGGGCCUAAAGCGUCCGUAGCUGGCCUGUCAAGUCCGUCGGGAAAUCUACCAGCCCAACUGGUAGGCGUCCGGCAGAAACUGGCAGGCUUGGGACCGGAAGGCUCGAGGGGUACGUCCGGGGUAGGAGUGAAAUCCCGUAAUCCUGGACGGACCGCCGAUGGCGAAAGCACCUCGAGAAGACGGAUCCGACAGUGAGGGACGAAAGCUAGGGUCUCGAACCGGAUUAGAUACCCGGGUAGACCUAGCCCUAAACGAUGCCUGUUAGGUGUGGCUCCCACUACGAGUGGGUGCUGUGCCGUAGGGAAGCCGCUAAGCAGGCCGCCUGGGAAGUACGUCCGCAAGGAUGAAACUUAAAGGAAUUGGCGGGGGAGCACUACAACCGGAGGAGCCUGCGGUUUAAUUGGAUUCAACGCCGG